rnacentral:lncRNA from 1 species
CCCCCCACUUCCUCUCCCACCCCUACUCAUUAAUGCUUGGCUGCAGUGGAGGCUUUGAGGUUUAUUUAGGUGCACGAUAUCUGGGUGCUGCACACAGGCACUGUGGGAGAGAUAAUGAGCCUCUCUGGUCACUGAGUUUCACUCUCUAACACAGCCAGUACAGAAAACAAUUCAGCCAGCAGGGAAACCAAGCCAAAAUUGGCGAGCCAAGGGUGCUGAGAUCCAGUGGAAGGAUGGGAAACUGCCUGCCAAAACUCAGGUGGAAAGCACACAACCCCAUCAGGAGAAAAAGAUACUCCCACAAAGAAACACAGACCUACAGCGAUUCGCCAAGUACUGUCCAGGAACAUUUUGCCAAAAAAGGUUCUAUGAAUUCCAGUGAACUGUGGUACUCAACUGUCAGCCACGAUGUGAAACAGGAAGCCUCUGUGAUUAACACCGAUAAUCAGACAGAAUAUGCAUUUGUCAAUGUGCCCAAGAAGAAGACAAAUACCAUCAGGACUGAAGAGCACAAUGAAUAUGAUUAUGUCAUUAUAACUUAGACAGGGACACUUUCUCCUCCCAAGUCACUCUUUCACCCGAACGUUUAAGCCAGCAGUAAGCAGCCUUGCAAAACACCCUACCUCUGCUGUCAUGUCUUCAAACCAACAUCUCUCUCUCAUUACCAAGCUUAAACAUUAGGACACACCUGCUGGUCAUUUCCAAUUAGACAAACCUGUCCAUGAAAAGGUGAUCAGAGAAAGAGGAUACAGGACUUGAUGAUUAAAGCAAGAGGCACCAGCAACAACCGCCAUUGUAAGACAAUGUUUCUCCAUAGAAAAUUAAGUGCUUCAUUACCAGAAGCAACUGAGGCUGUAUAUUUUUCUGGACUUUUAUAGUAAUUUUUUUUUUAGAGAGGAGUCUUAUAGAACUACUAAUUGAAACCUCCCUAAAAUGCAAUAAUAAUAUCCCUUAUGUUGGUUUUGUUUGUUUUCUUUUGGGGGGAAGGAGGGGUCAGGCUUGUGUUUAAAAUGGAAGGCAUAGACCCUGUGCUAGGUGCACUUAUUCUUUUCUAAAGUUUCUCUGGCCUGCUUGAUAUAUACCAUUAUAUAUACCAUGACACAAUGUACAAUUUAGAUAAAUAACUCAUUUCUCAAAUUGCCCCCCAAGCCCUUUUAAUGUAAUCGGCUUGAGAAUGAAGUCUUAACAAAUUUGGAAUUAAAUUUUAAAAGGCAACAAACUUCACGCAAAGCAAAAGUUCCAGCUGCUUCACAUCACUGCCCCUUAGAAGACUAUAAAAGCAAUGAAGACCGCGAUGCUGCACGGGAGUAACUGCACACCUCUCAGUAGAAGUUUCCCAGGUGUUGCUUUUGUGACACAGCGCUUCCAGCUCGCUCUGCUGGAGUCUCAGAACCUGGCUCUCUGCAAUGACAGAACAUCACCUCUCCAUAGCCCACCACCCCUCUGCAAACAGCGUUUGUGGACACAGAAUCAGAAUCACAGAAUCUUCUAGGCUGGAAGGGACCUUAAAGAUCAUCUUGUCCAACCAUCAACCUAACUGACAAAAAUAGACACCCACACAACAAACAAGGAGCAUCAUCACUAAACCAUACCUCCCAGCACUACAUCAACCCGUCUUUUGAACACCUCCAGGGAUGGUGCCUCAACCACCUCCCUGGGCAGCCCAUUCCAAUGUCUGAUAACCCUUUCAGUGAAAAAAUUUUUCCUAAUAUCCAGCCUGAACCUGCCCUGGCGCAACUUGAGGCCAUUUCCUCUUGUCCUGUCGCCUGUGACUUGAGAAAAGAGACUGACCCCCAUCUCUCUACACCCUCCUUUCAGGUAGUUGUAGAGAGCAAUAAGGUCUCCCCUCAGCCUCCUCUUCUCCAGGCUGAAUAACCCCAGUUCCCUCAGCCUCUCCUCGUAAGACUUAUUCUCCAGACCCCUCACCAUCUUUGUCGCCCUUCUCUGGACCCGCUCCAGCACCUCAAUGUCUUUUUUUAUGGUAGGGGGCCCAAAACUGGACACAGUACUCAAGGUGAGGCCUCACCAGUGCUGAGUACGGGGGGACAAUCACCUCUCGGGUCCUACUCGCCACACUGUUCCUGAUACACCUGCAGAGGACUGCAACCUGCUAUUCAACUGUUCACCAGGGCUCUUAAAGCCAUUACAUGCCUGUGCUCUUGCUUAAGCAUGUUUGUUUGGUGGUUUGGGUUUUCUUUUGCUCCCUCCGUUUUUGUAAUAAAACAAUUUGGAAGAAAACGUUGAAUGGUUUU